GUACUUGCUUCCACUGUACAUAUAUUGAUAUUUGAAUAAUACAGAGAAUAUUAGUGUGGUCCAUGUGCAAGGAUGAUCCACAAAUUCAGGAAGCAGUCCAUAUUUUA